rnacentral:rRNA from 1 species
CUCCCGCCGGCGACUGGCGCACGGGUGAGUAACACGUAUGAAACCUGCCCGUAGCAGGGGGAUAAGCGGAAGAAAUUCCGUCUAAUACCGCGUAACAACCCGAGGAGGCAUCUCCUCGGGUUUAAAGGAAGCGAUUCCGGCUACGGAUGGUCAUGCGUCGCAUUAGCUAGUUGGCGGGGUAACGGCCCACCAAGGCGACGAUGCGUAGGGGUUCUGAGAGGAAGGUCCCCCACACUGGUACUGAGACACGGACCAGACUCCUACGGGAGGCAGCAG